ensembl:lncRNA
UUCUUUCCUUGAUGUCAAUUUAUAUUUUAGUCCUUCUUGUUUUUCCUUUUUCAAGGAAGUGACCCCAUAGCUGUUUUUCUUGUGUGCUCAUGGACCCAAGACCCAGAUGAUUUCAAACAUAACCUUCCCGACCUUAGGCUAUUUUCUUGGCCAAUCACUAUUCUCAACUCUGAAGAAGUCUUUCAGGCUCAUUUGCUACCGGACUCCGAGAUGACUAUUUUAAUGCCUGUAGAAUUGAUGCUUUUGAACUGUGGUGUUGGAGAAGACUCUUGAGAGUCCCUCAGACUGCAAGGAGAUCCAACCAGUCCAUUCUGAAGGAGAUCAGCCCUGGGUGUUCUUUGGAAGGAAUGAUGCUAAAGCUGAAGCUCCACUACUUUGGCCACCUCAUGCGAAGAGU